GUUUGGACCAAGUGAUUUUAGAGCGUGGGAUUUCUCCAGUUAAGGGCUCAAUUGUUGCAACCUCGACCUCGGGACUUUGCUGCUUGGAAAGCGUGAUUUUACUAUUAGAAUUCGAUUGAGCAAAUCUCCAGACAGAUGCAGAGGUAAGAGCAAAGGCAAGCUGGCGAAUGACGAGAAGUGACCGUGGCGAACCAUAGGGAUACGUUUGCUUCUGCUUUAUGUCAUAUUUCGAAUUUUAGCGUUGCA